UGGCGCCACCGCGCGGUGCUUAGCGGUAGUCCUCGGCCUCGCCCUGGGGCGGCGCGGCGGCGCCUCAGCUGGCGAUUCGAGCUCUGCGGGUUUUGAUUAUUUGCUGUUUUAUUAGAGCGCAGUAAACGUCCCAUAAACACAGUUCAGAGCUGCCUGGGAAGAGAAAAGCCAAAGGACGCCACCCUCCAGGCCUGGCCCCAGCAACCUCAGGGAAAUUGCCGGUCAGGGCGCCCUGGGUCCUGGUCAGGCGUCGCUGCGCGCGACUUCGCAGCGGAGGCUCUACGUGGCACUGGGCUAGGUGUGGAAGGCGCGGCCAAAAACAGUCAUGCCUGUCCUACCCCCUUCCCAGACGGAAAACGCUGAGCACGAUGAGCGGCCACGUCGUACUACCGACCGGGGGGCCGUGGCUUGGGGGCUCGAACCCAGGCCGCUCUUUGAUUUCCGUCUUCGAGAUUUAUUUAUCUGAAGGGCAGAGUGACAGAGAUCCUACCCAAAUGGCUGCUGAAGCAUGGAGCCAAGAAAUUUCAUCUGGGUCUAACACGUGGGUGGCAGAGACUCAGGCCAUUUGCAGGGAGCUGAAUUGGAAGUGGAGCAGCUGAGACAUGAACUGGCGGCUUUAACCACUACACAACAACGCCAGCCCCUCCAUUUUUCUUUCUUUGUAGUGAGUGUUAAAUAAAAAAAAAAAAAUUAAUGAGCAAAUGUUCCAGUUCUUACUUUAUUAAUGUUUCAACUGUUUCUAAAACUAAUUUUUUUGACAGGCAGAGUGGACAGUGAGAGAGAGAGACAGAGAGAAAGGUCUUCCUUUUUGCCAUUGGUUUACCCUCCAAUGGCCGCCGCGGCCGGCGCAUGGUGCUGAUCCAGUGGCAGAAGCCGGGUGCCUAUCCUGGUUUCCCAUGGGGUGCAGGGCCCAAGCACUUGGGCCAUCCUCCACUGCACUCCCUGGCCACAGCAGAGAGCUGGCCUGGAAGAGGGGCAACCGGGACAGAAUCCGGCACCCUGACCGGGACUAGAACCCGGUGUGCCGGUGCUGCAAGGCAGAGGAUUAGCCUAGUGAGCCGCGGCGCCGGCCUCUAAAACUAAUUUUUAAAAAAGAUUUAUUUAUUUGAAAGAGUUACACAGAGAGAGAAGGAGAGGCAGAGAGAGAGAGGUUUUCCAUCAGCUGGUUCACUCCCUAAUUGGCCACAAUGGCCACAGCUGUGCCAGUCUGAAGCCAUGAGCCAGGAACUUCCUCUGGGUCUCCCACACGAUUACAGGGGCCCAAGGACUUGGGCCAUCUUCUACUGCUUUCCCAGGCCAUAGCAGAGAGUGGGAUCGGAAGUGGAGCAGCCAGGACUUGAACUGGCACCCAUAUGGUUUGACAGCACUGCAGGUGCUGGCUUUUACCAGCUACGCCGCAACACCAGCCCCUAAAACUAAUUUUUUUUAUGCAACACAUUUUGAGAUUAUGUAAUCUUCUUUGUAAUUUUAAUUUUCCUUUAUUAUGCUACCAAAGAUUUCUGAUGAAACUAAAAUAUUUUAUA